rnacentral:rRNA from 1 species
AGAGUUUGAUCCUGGCUCAGGAUGAACGCUGGCGGCGUGCUUAACACAUGCAAGUCGAACGAAGAUGAUUAGAAUGAGAGCUUCGGCAGGAUUUCUUCUCAUCUUAGUGGCGGACGGGUGAGUAACGUGUGGGCAACCUGCCCUAUACUGGGGAAUAAUCACUGGAAACGGUGACUAAUACCGCAUGUCAUCACGGAAGGGCAUCCUUCUGUGAGAAAAGGAGUAAUUCGGUAUAGGAUGGGCCCGCAUCUGAUUAGCUAGUUGGUGAGAUAACAGCCCACCAAGGCGACGAUCAGUAGCCGACCUGAGAGGGUGAUCGGCCACAUUGGGACUGAGACACGGCCCAAACUCCUACGGGAGGCAGCAGUGGGGAAUAUUGCACAAUGGGGGAAACCCCUGAUGCAGCAACGCCGCGUGAAGGAUGAAGGUUUUCGGAUCGUAAACUUCUAUCAAUAGGGACGAAACAAAUGACGGUACCUAAAUAAGAAGCCCCGGCUAACUACGUGCCAGCAGCCGCGGUAAUACGUAGGGGGCAAGCGUUAUCCGGAAUUACUGGGUGUAAAGGGAGCGUAGGCGGCAUGUCAAGCCAGAUGUGAAAGCCCGGGGCUUAACCCCGUGGAUUGCAUUUGGAACUGGCAAGCUAGAGUACAGGAGAGGAAAGCGGAAUUCCUAGUGUAGCGGUGAAAUGCGUAGAUAUUAGGAAGAACACCAGUGGCGAAGGCGGCUUUCUGGACUGAAACUGACGCUGAGGCUCGAAAGCGUGGGGAGCAAACAGGAUUAGAUACCCUGGUAGUCCACGCCGUAAACGCAUGAGUGCUAGGUGUGGGGGAGGAAUCCUCGGUGCCGCAGCUAACGCAAUAAGCACUCCACCUGGGGAGUACGACCGCAAGGUUGAAACUCAAAGGAAUUGACGGGGGCCCGCACAAGCGGUGGAGCAUGUGGUU